rnacentral:rRNA from 1 species
GACGAGGGAUCCUAGCGUUGCUCGGAAUUAUUGGGCGUAAAGCGGGUGUAGGUGGCUUGGUAAGUCGGGUGUGAAAGCCCAGGGCUUAACCCUGGAAGUGCAUUCGAUACUACUGAGCUUGAGUGCGAGAGAGGUUAAUAGAAUACCUGGUGUAGUGGUGAAAUACGUAGAUAUCAGGUGGAACACCGGAGGCGAAGGCGGUUAACUGGCUCGACACUGACACUGAGACCCGAAAGUGCGGGGAUCAAACAGG